AUCUUCCUCCUCUGCCGCCUCUUCCUACUUUUAGCUUUGUAAGUCUUCCAACUUUCUAAUAAUGCAUCCUACCAUCAUGCUUAAAGAUCAUGAAUCUUACCAUCUUACCUUCUCAUGCUUUAAGUGUUCUCAGUCGGGACAAGACUCAAAUAACUUCGUGGUACCUGCAUCCAUACCUACCCAAGCAAGCCUAGUGACUCCCACUAUAGCUCAUGGCGCAUCGACCUCCUUGCAACAAUAAUCACUCGAGGUAGUUGUCUAUGUUUGUGCAUUGUUGAUGCUUGAGUCUUGUCUUUGUGCUUCUCAACUUACAACUUGUGCAUUGUUGAUAGUAGAGCCCACAAGUGUUGAUGCUUAUAUUGUUCAUACUUCUUAGCUUCAAUUUGAACCUUAUAUGUUGAUGCUUGUUGACUCUUGUGCCUUAUCGAUCAUUUGAAACUUAACUUUGAAAACUCAUGCGUUUGGUAAUGGACUUAUAGGUUUGCAUCGUGGAUGCCAUUGACGGUGGAGUUCAUUGCAUCUUUGAGGUUCAUGCUUGGUGUGAACUUGGAACUCAUGCUUUUGUUUGUGAACCUUGUUGGAUAUGCACGUAUGUUGUUGUGAACCUUGUUGGAUAUGCACGCAUGUUGUUGUGAACCUUUGUUGGAUAUGUACCUGUGUGGAGUUUGACCUCAUGGUCAAUUUGUAAUGGUUGUCAAGUUGUAAU
rnacentral:lncRNA from 1 species